GUGGGGAAUAUUGCACAAUGGGCGCAAGCCUGAUGCAGCCAUGCCGCGUGUGUGAAGAAGGCCUUCGGGUUGUAAAGCACUUUCAGCGGGGAGGAAGGCGGUGAGGUUAAUAACCUCAUCGAUUGACGUUACCCGCAGAAGAAGCACCGGCUAACUCCGUGCCAGCAGCCGCGGUAAUACGGAGGGUGCAAGCGUUAAUCGGAAUUACUGGGCGUAAAGCGCACGCAGGCGGUCUGUCAAGUCGGAUGUGAAAUCCCCGGGCUCAACCUGGGAACUGCAUUCGAAACUGGCAGGCUAGAGUCUUGUAGAGGGGGGUAGAAUUCCAGGUGUAGCGGUGAAAUGCGUAGAGAUCUGGAGGAAUACCGGUGGCGAAGGCGGCCCCCUGGACAAAGACUGACGCUCAGGUGCGAAAGCGUGGGGAGCAAACAGGAUUAGAUACCCCUGUAGUCC
rnacentral:rRNA from 1 species